rnacentral:rRNA from 1 species
ACCCACGUCCUUAGUUGCCAUCAUUUAGUUGGGCACUCUAGGGAGACUGCCGGUGAUAAGCCGCGAGGAAGGUGUGGAUGACGUCAAGUCCUCAUGGCCCUUACGGGAUGGGCUACACACGUGCUACAAUGGCGGUGACAGUGGGACGCGAAGCCGCGAGGUGGAGCAAAUCCCCAAAAACCGUCUCAGUUCGGAUUGCACUCUGCAACUCGGGUGCAUGAAGGCGGAAUCGCUAGUAAUCGUGGAUCAGCACGCCACGGUGAAUACGUUCCCGGGCCUUGUACACACCGCCCGU